AUCUAAGUGGGAAUGGUUUCAAUUUUUCCUCUGAGAUAAUUUUAAGAAAGUUGAUGGAGUUGGACAGCCAUCACAGCGAGGCAUUGGUCUCCGGAUUCUUGUCUUCUUCGGAGUUUUCUCCAAACUGCAAGUAACACGUUUCUCUGUGAAGCAGGUUCACUGUGCACUGGGUCCGG